GCGCAUGCUCACUUAAGGCGUUCUUCCCUUACCAGCUGAAAGUUUCUAGACGAAGGGCAUAUACCAGUUAAACUCCGCCAUUUUGCCUCUCAGUGUUCAAGCUUGAGCCCACGCAUCCAACUCCUGAGAUCUUACUGGGAAGCUGCUGAUCAUCAGUUUCAGGUGUUUCUAUCUUUUGGGAGACUGCCCUUCCCUGAUGCUAGCUGUAACCAAUUAUUAUUUUAGAGAGACAGUUAAUGACCACCUGACCAUCACCUGACGGUCAGCUGACAUUCCUGGUCGGGAGGAGCCCUCUCCUGCCCUGCUUAUGUCUGCCUGACUACCUACUGUAAUGGACGCAGCCAGCUGGAACAUCGGCUUUGCUCGGAAGUCAGCAUGGAUCAGCCUUACGUUCAUGGCCUCCAGGCCCUAUUCUCCUGCCUCACAGGGACCGGCCAGGAUCUCUAUCCUUACAGCACGUUGGAAUGUAUAUGCUCCUCUCCCCACAUCGCCUUAGGGAGCAGGCAGGUGUCAGGGGCAGCACAAGGACGGCCAACAGGACAGAAGACGGGUUGAAGAUCCGAGAGGCUGAGUCACUUCCACAAAGUAACACAGCUGAUUUUAAAUGCCUGCAUUCAGCAUCCCUGCAGCAGGCUCCAGGUGGAAUUCUAAUGGGACCAGCCUCCAGUCCCUGGACCUUAGCCGUGGAAGGAGAGAAGAGGACAUCUGCACCUCCUCUCAGAGAAAGCCUGAUGCCUACUAAAGGACUUGGGUGGUGGACGCAGUGACCCUCAGUCUGGAGCUUGUUCACUGAACAUUGGAGACUAUCAUUUGCGCAGAUGGUCUUGGGCCUCUAUGAGCAGCAGGCUGCACCCCACAGUGACCUCCUCAUUCUACUCUGAGGCAUCUUCAUGAAAGCAGAUGUCCAUUGAAAAGCACCCAAGUGCAGUCUCAGCUGAUGAACUUCAGAGGCGAUUGAGACAAAGGCUCUCGGUCCCCUCUGCCCUUGGAUGGUGCCUCUGGUAUGCACUUGGCCUCUGUGUCUUUAUUUAGACUGGUCACUUCACAACCCAUCAUGUCACCCCACCCCUAACCGUGCCCACUCUGGGUCCUCCCCUCAACUGCCUGACUUCCCACUUUGAGCUCAGCAAAGGCAAUAGAUGUUUUGUCUGCUUCGAUACCCUAAAUGCAUGGCGUGGAAGCUGGCACACAGUGGGCCCUUGAAAUUUGGGAGUGAAUAUGUAUAUAUAUUAUAUUCCAACCUCAACUUUCCUCACUGCUCCUCAUAGUAGGAAUGGAUUGUAAAACUUCCCAGAAUGUUCAAGAGGAGAAAGGAGAGAAAACAGCCUGGAAUUUGAGCUAAGGGGCCCACAGCCCAGCCACCAAGCCAUCUGUAAAAUGGGGUGGGAAUAUGACAUGAGCCACAGGGGUGCUAUGAGGGUUAAUGAGGUCACCGUGCGAUGUACCAUGCCAACAUGAAUAACCAGACCUCUUGAUAUCAUCAUUUUUGCAUUGCCUGGAAAGUGCCUGAUACACACUACAUACUCAACAAGUGUGAUGGGGUGUCCAGAGGAAACUGGUCUAUAGAAUAAUUUUUAUACCAGGCUAUACUUUCCUUUCAAAGUUCAAAGCUGUGUUUGCAUUCUGGA
rnacentral:lncRNA from 1 species